CCCAAAAUGCUGGGAUUACAAGCAUGAACCACUGUGACUUGCCUUCUUGGCAAUUUUAAAUGAAAGAAGAAGAUGGAAUAAUGCCUACUGAGGACUAUGUUUGAGGGGUGUUGUAUGACCCCGUUUUCCAUACCCAGCCAACUUGUCAUGUGACAAGUCCACAGAAAGAUGUUAUAUGACAGGAAUCUAUGAACUAGUCUUCCCUGAAAUGUACCUGACUACAGCUAACAUCAUAUCACAUGAUGAAAGACCGCGUUGUUUUCCCCUGAGGUUGGCAGUGCAGGAAGAUGUACGUGAAAUAAUUCAUGGAAAAGUCACAGUGGCCUUGAAGUUCUCCAGAUAACUAUGAAAAACUACGUUAAGAUGCUAUUUUUCAACAAAAUUCAUUUUACCAACCUCAAAACGUAUUUCCUCCGAAGAGGAUACGCACUGACAAACAACACCCGAGUGUGGCAUGCUAGCAGGAGCACUAGGCUGGGAGUCAAGAGACUUAAAUUCCACCCGGAAGCCACCACAUGACCUUGGCAUGAGCCCGUCACCAGGCUCCUCAGCGUCCUCAUCGCAGCACCAGGGAUUUCCCAAGCCCUCCGGAAAUACUGUAACUUGACAACAAUGGAGAAAGACUUUCACCCAUGCGGUUGGAAUGCUAGCCUUAAAAUAUAUACAAUUGUUACAUGUCAAUAAAAAUAAAUAAAUAAAUGUUUAAAAAAAAAAA
rnacentral:lncRNA from 10 species